rnacentral:misc_RNA from 1 species
GAUGAAGAACGCAGCGAAAUGCGAUAAGUAAUGUGAAUUGCAGAAUUCAGUGAAUCAUCGAAUCUUUGAACGCACAUUGCGCCCGCCAGUAUUCUGGCGGGCAUGCCUGUUCGAGCGUCAUUUCAACCAUCAAGCCCCAGGCUUGUGUUGGGGACCUGCGGCUGCCGCAGGCCCUGAAAACCAGUGGCGGGCUCGCUGUCACACCGGGCGUAGUAGAUUUUAUCUCGCUCAGGGCGUGCUGCGGGUUCCGGCCGUUAAAAAGCCUUUUUUACCCAAGGUUGACCUCGGAUCAGGUAGGAAUACCCGCUGAACUUAAGCAUAUCAAUAACGGGGA